AAUUUCUAACUAUUUAUCAUUUUAAAAGUCUGGUUACAAUCCUAUCAUCUCUAUCCAUGUAUUUAACAUAAUUUGACUUAAAUAGCAGCCAGAUGUGUUUAAACAAAGCCUUUUUAGCAAAAGAUUUACAUAAAGGCUUGUAUAGUCCGCUGUUUUAUUUUCUAAAAUUUAAUCUGCGAGACAGGGGUGUGGACUAUAGAGUACGAUAACCACGAAAUAAGAGAAACC
rnacentral:lncRNA from 1 species